GGACGAACGCUGGCGGCAUGCCUAACACAUGCAAGUCGAACGAGACCUUCGGGUCUAGUGGCGCACGGGUGCGUAACGCGUGGGAAUCUGCCUUAGGUUCGGAAUAACUUCGGGAAACUGAAGCUAAUACCGGAUGAUGACGUAAGUCCAAAGAUUUAUCGCCUAAGGAUGAGCCCGCGUAGGAUUAGCUAGUUGGUGAGGUAAAGGCUCACCAAGGCGACGAUCCUUAGCUGGUCUGAGAGGAUGAUCAGCCACACUGGGACUGAGACACGGCCCAGACUCCUACGGGAGGCAGCAGUGGGGAAUAUUGGACAAUGGGCGAAAGCCUGAUCCAGCAAUGCCGCGUGAGUGAUGAAGGCCUUAGGGUUGUAAAGCUCUUUUACCCGGGAUGAUAAUGACAGUACCGGGAGAAUAAGCUCCGGCUAACUCCGUG
rnacentral:rRNA from 1 species